rnacentral:rRNA from 1 species
AACGAACGUUGGCGGCGUGGAUUAGGCAUGCAAGUCGCGGGAAUCUCAGCAAUGAGGGAACCGGCGUAAGGGGCAGUAAUGCGUGGGUACCCACCGCGGGGUCCGGGAUAGCCGUCCGAGAGGGCGGGUAAUACCGGAUGACCUCGGGAGAGCAAAGCUCCGGCGCCCUGUGAGGGGCCCACGUGAUAUUAGCUAGUUGGCGGGGUGACGGCCCACCAAGGCGGAGAUGUCUAGCGGGUGUGAGAGCACGACCCGCGCCACUCGCACUGAGACACUGGCGAGACACCUACGGGUGGCUGCAGUCGAGGAUCUUCGGCAAUGCGCGCAAGCGCGACCGAGCGACGCCGCGUGGGCGAUGAAGGCCUUCGGGUUGUAAAGCCCUGUCGAGGGGGAGAAAAGGGUAAAACCUUGAUCUAUCCCUGGAGGAAGCUCGGGCUAAGUUCGUGCCAGCCGCCGCCGUAAAAC